rnacentral:misc_RNA from 1 species
GAAAGUCUUUAAAUGGACGUGAAGAUUUUUCAUCACAAUCAGGUACCUCACCAAGGAAAAGGAGGACUGCUCACGUGAGCGGACAAAUUGAAAGAAAAGCAUCUGUUGAUUCACCUGCUCCAAAUCAACGAUCCCAUCCAUGUGAUAAAUUGUCUAGAACAAGUUCAAGGCUUGAACGCAAGCCUCUCCCCGCAAAGCAGCCUUGUGCUGG